UACGAAGGGGGCUAGCGUUGCUCGGAAUCACUGGGCGUAAAGGGUGCGUAGGCGGGUCUUUAAGUCAGGGGUGAAAUCCUGGAGCUCAACUCCAGAACUGCCUUUGAUACUGAAGAUCUUGAGUCCGGGAGAGGUGAGUGGAACUGCGAGUGUAGAGGUGAAAUUCGUAGAUAUUCGCAAGAACACCAGUGGCGAAGGCGGCUCACUGGCCCGGUACUGACGCUGAGACGCGAAAAGCGUGGGG
rnacentral:rRNA from 1 species